GCCGAGGUGGCCCAGCGGACUACGGCGCCGGUCUUGAAAACCGGUGGUGCAUCGCACCUCGUGUGUUCGAAUCACACCCUCGGCG
rnacentral:tRNA from 1 species